rnacentral:misc_RNA from 1 species
GAACGCAUCUUGCGCUCCUUGGUAUUCUGAGGAGCAUGCCUGUUUGAGUGUCAUUAAAUUCUCAACCACACUGACUUUGAUCGGUGUGGCUUGGAUUUGGGUGCUGCUGCUUAACUGUGGCUCGCCUCAAAUGAAGUAGUGCAACUCUCGGUUGGACAUAGUACGGCGUGAUAAGUAUCUUCGCCGGCGCCUCAUUCGAGGGUGGCCGAUCGGGAGCUCUGUGCUUCAAACCGUCUUCGGACAAUAUCUGACAACUUGACCUCAAAUCGAGUAGGACUACCCGCUGAACUUAAG